GACGAACGCUGGCGGCGUGCUUAACACAUGCAAGUCGAACGGAAAGGCCCUGCUUUUUUUGGGUGCUCGAGUGGCGAACGGGUGAGUAACACGUGAGUAACCUGCCCUUGACUUUGGGAUAACUUCAGGAAACUGGGGCUAAUACCGGAUAGGAGCUCCUGCUGCAUGGUGGGGGUUGGAAAGUUUCGGCGGUUGGGGAUGGACUCGCGGCUUAUCAGCUUGUUGGUGGGGUAGUGGCUUACCAAGGCUUUGACGGGUAGCCGGCCUGAGAGGGUGACCGGCCACAUUGGGACUGAGAUACGGCCCAGACUCCUACGGGAGGCAGCAGUGGGGAAUAUUGCACAAUGGGCGGAAGCCUGAUGCAGCAACGCCGCGUGCGGGAUGACGGCCUUCGGGUUGUAAACCGCUUUCGCCUGUGACGAAGCGUGAGUGACGGUAAUGGGUAAAGAAGCACCGGCUAACUACGUG
rnacentral:rRNA from 1 species